UCAUGUGGUGAAAGUGGCUGAUUAUGGUGGUCGGAGAUCUGGUCAAUAGGAGUGGCCACACGGAGGCAUGCUACAUGAGCUGAAAGCAGCUGUUCAUACAGAGGGUGGUUAGCUAUCUCCGCCUUGAUGUGGCGGUUCUGAUCACCGGAAAGUGAGACAGACAUGUCACCAAAACCACCACCACCACCACCCAUCAUCCCUAACCCCCCUUGUGGUUCUUGCAUUGUUUUUUUUUUCAAAAAAAAUGAAGAAAAAGAUGAUCAAGAAAACUUCUCUCUCUAAAACUUUCUCUCACAAGAAUCAAGAAAGUGAAAUGUGUAUGUGGGAUGGGAUUGAGAGAUCAUGUGAAGAAAAGGGUUUGCUAAACAAGAGGUGGGGUUAGGGAAAGAGGACCACUUGUACUUUGGGGAGAGCUAGCUGGCUGGCUAUCUAUGGCAGUUAUAUACUCUCUCUCUACAAGGUUUUUUAGAGAGAGAAGGAAAAGGAGGGUAUGAUUACAGAUCUUUUGGAGGAGAGAGAUGGCCUUAUUGGGAUCAGAGACAAGAAAACUUUCUGGACCAGUUCUGUGACUUCACAGAUUUAAGCAUAAAAAAGAAUCAUUUUUUUCUCUUUCAAAAUAGAUUUU
rnacentral:lncRNA from 1 species